rnacentral:lncRNA from 1 species
AGAAGAGCCAUAAGAGAAAUUAGCAAGAGCUGACUUUCAUCCCAGGGAGUGGAAGCAUGAAAACUAGGACUGUAGUGAGAAAGCCCAUGAGAUAAAGUUGAAGUAUUUAAGGCUGAGGGAAGUUCUGUGCUCAUGCAUUCAUGUUGAAUCUUUCUCCCCAGAGUUUUGAGGGGAGAGAUUCUGGAUCUUUUCUAUAGUGAGGAAAGAAAGUCUACUUCCUGCUGAAGAAAGGCACCUUACUGGCUUCAGGUCUGGAUAUAGCUUGUCUGCUAGAAGCAGGUCAUGAUCCCCUAUAGUAGCUCUGGAAUCUAUGCUGUAUUAGAAAAAAUGGUCCCGGAGAACUGGUACUUCAAUAAUUUGACUCAAAUAAAAUUGUAUGGCUUCUGAGUUUCCACAUCUAUUAUGUAAUUCUGUUGUUCCUUAAAUAUGGCCUUCUCUCUAGGGAGAUCACAUUUACCAAGGCCUAUUUCAAAAGAUAUAAAUCAAAACCCAGGAAUUGAAGAUAUAAGUCAAAACCUGGGAAACAUCUUUCAGUUGGGUCAAAGUCCCAGUGAAUUUGAGGAGGAAAGAAAUAAAUUAUCAGUCCUCUUGCUGCUGAUUCUUUGCUGUGGAAAAGCCUUUUGUUUACUCUGUUGGCAAUCACUGGAUUGAUUCAGAAAAAUUACACCUUUAAUUUCCCUUUGGAAAUAUUUGCAACAAUGAAGAGGAGAAUCUACUUUUCCUAAGCCUGACAGCCUCCUUGAUGUGUCUGUGAUUAAAGAACCACUGAGAAGCCUAAGUAGAUGCCAUUGCAAUUAGAGACUGUGGGAGGAGAGUGAAGACAGGCUGCAUCUUCUCCUUCCUCACAUCUUCUCAUUGGAUCCAGAGUGGAAAGAGGGCAGUUAGGACAUGACCAGCCUUGGAUGAGACUGUGAGCCAAUCAUAGGAAGAUUAUUAAAAUACCAUAGAAAAUAAAGAUGCAGAACAACCAACCUUUAUGUCAGGAUCUGCAGAUUACUUGCAUCAUUCUAUCACUUCUCAUGAAUUAUACACUAAAGCCCAUUAUAGAGGUACCUUGGUACUUAUUGUUAAUAAGUAAGACAAGUGUGCUGUGCUUCUUCCAUCUUUAAAAUGGGCAUACUAGUCCUCCUUUUGUAGGUUUGCUGUGAUCAUUAAGAGAGUCAAAUGCAUAUGAAGCACUUAAGAUAGGUCUAGAGCAGUGGUGGCGAACCUAUGGCACAUGUGUUACUUAUUUUUCUUUUAAGACAAAGGAUGUUAACGUACGAGUUGUUUUUUCUAAACUAAAACUUCAUUAUUCAAGUUUAAUUGCAGUAUUGACACUGCGAUAAAUAAGCAGGUUAUGGGUUGCAGUUUGGGCACUUGUCUCUAAAAGAUUCAUCAUCACUGGUCUGGAGGCAGUCUUGGAAUUAAGUACCAUAUAUGUAUUUCUUGUUGAAGUACAGUAGAGAGUGAUGUUAUUUGUGUUGCAUGCUGGAAUAAAUGGGGAAUAUGAUUUUCUAGUGUCUAUAGGGGGCUUGUUGAAAAAUUUCUGGUGUAUUAUGUAAUUAAUAUAUGUAAAAACACAAACAAGAAAAGCUUCUUUAAAUUUACAUAAUAUAUUCACAUAAAAUAAUUUUUAAAAUGCAACGUAAAAUUGCACUUAUCUGUCAUGGUGGACAGAAAUCUUUGCAAAAAUGGUUGGAGGUAAACAGUUCAGGAACUUUGCUUAAGGGCCUUAAGGGUCAAAAUAACAAUUAUGAAUUCAGGAAGUUUUUAGAGGGAGUCAUUUAAAUCAUGCCUUAAGAGAAUUUCAAUCAUUGCAAGGUUUUCAAAUGGUAGUUUAAAGAAGAUUGAAUAUUCUGGCCAUUAUGAAGAGGUAGAGGCCCUCACACCUCUUGGCCACUUGGAGCUUGCUUUUGACCUGUGCUGGCUGGCCAGAACUCGGCAGUUUGCAAGCUCUCCCAUACACCACUGCUACUUGAUAUAUGAGUGAGACAACUGUUCCUUUUCAAAAGCACAUUACUAAAUUAUCUUGGUCCACAAAGGAGGACCCAAACUGGGCCUUUGUAGGAGGAACUAUUUGAGGCCCUUUCUGAGCAGUCACUUCACACUGCACAAACGGGCAGAGGAAAGGGUGGCUUGAGCAGCUAUGGCUCAGAACAGCAGCAGGGAGGACAUUAGGCAAGGACCCAUUUAUAGGGGAUUGUGCUGGCCAGGAGCUACCAGAUGAGGCUGUAGGCCGAUUUGUCUCUCUGAAACCUGUACCUGAGCUGCUUUCCUCCAGUCAACUGCAGUCCAGAAUUAAACUGAGCUUGUUUUCCUUACCCUUCCUCACUAUGCAGUCUGAAGAGCUCCAGUGGAUUUUUUAAAAUAUGAAAUUAAAUCUUCUCUUGCCCCUAUCUGAAUAAUUCUAUGCUUCUUAUUAUUGUUUCCCUGCCGUGAACUCAAGGAAGAACUGCAUGUUCCAGCCAAGCCUAAUGAUUGUUUUAUAAAUAUUUAUAAGUCAGUUACUAUCUUCCUUUCUUUCUUCCCCCUUCCUAGCUAUACAUUAUUUGAAGGCCCAUUCUUCCUUUCCUAGGAGCUCUUUGGCAUUUUUCUGGGCUGGGAGAGUGUUCUGGGUUUGACAUUUUUCUUUGAUUUGCUUGCCUGUAUGUUGGGAGUAUUUGUUGAGAAGCUUCAUCCCGAAGUAUUUAAAGUUGGCUUCCUGAGGCUACCUCAUUGUUCACAUGUGCCAAAACCGAACCUAAGCCUCUAUGUAGAGAUUUAUGUUCUUCUGCAGAAGAGAGAACCUAUUUAGCAAAUUCAUUUAUCAACAGAGGGAACUUCACUCUCAUUCUCUGGUUAUCUCUGUAUCUUUUGUCUAUUUUUAAAAAUAGAUCAGAACUGGUGAGGGUAGCGAAAGUGGAAAAGUCAAGCAUUGAAACCAAUGACCAGUUGUAUGUAUCAAGUCUUGUUCCUGGAAAGACUGUUCAUUUUCUGGCAAUGAAUGGCAUCCCAUCUAUGGAUUUUGAAAGCAUGCCCAAGUGGCCAGAGCCCUCAGAAAGUGAUGCCAACCUAAUCAGAUGGAGUUAAAUGUUCCAGAAAUAUUGUAGAAGAUUGAUUUCCUUUUAAAAUUCUAAACAUGGAAUUAGUAUAGGCGGUAAUUGCUAAAUAAAUGUAGGCAUAGUAUCUGGUACCAAUAGGGUCUCGUGCUGAUUAUGAUGGGAUAAUGUCAAAGCAAGGGAGGGCACUAUGGAACUGAUAGGUCCUUCAGAGUGUCUCCACCUUAACCAGAACUUGAUUUCUUACUUGGCAGAUGUGCCUGGAGCCAUGACUAUUGUAUUAAGAUCUUCCAGGGAACCAAUCAAUGGGGAUUUGCUUUCCCAUGCUACUUUACUGGGAGAACUGUUAGGCAACAGGGGUGCAUAAUCUUCAUAAUAGUAACAUCACCAGAAGAACAGCAUCAACAGUAAGAGUAGGAACAUGUCAAGUUUCUACUUUGUAUAUGCAAAGGGCUUAUCUUAUGUUCUCUCAUUUUACAAUGAUGCUGGGGAAACACUGUACUCAGAUAAAAAUAUUUGGGCCAAAUCUCUAAGAGACAAAGAAACUGGGACUUACAGAGACUAAGUAAAGUGCUCAGGGUCAAGGAAUGACACAGCCUGGACGGACUUGAGACGUCUGUCUCAGAGCUGGUGCUCUGAAGCUCAACAGUAAGCACUUCCCAAGAUAAGGAAAUGGACCCCAGGGAACAGUAGAAAGAGCUAUUCACUGGUCUCCAUUUCCACAUCUGAUAAAGAUGAACACUUUGAGGUAUCUUCUGAAAUUUUCAGUGAUCCUAUGAAGUCUUCUCUAUGUGGGAUUCUGUGUUCCUCAGAGGCCUCCAAUGGAGAAGAAGGCAAGAACUAGUCCUUAGAAUAAUCUAUGGAGAAAGAGACAAACAAGUAUAUCUUACCUGGACUUAUCUGAGCCUCCAUGAACCAAGUCCUGCAUUUGAAAGGAUUGCAUAGAGCUUUCCCAUGUAAGUCAUGUGUAAAGACAUACAAGCUUUCUACUUGCUACAAAUUAAGGCCAAAAAUCCUGGAAUGAUAUAUACCAGACCAUAUAGAGGACUCCAUGCCAGCAAACUGCCAACUCACAAACCAUAAGCCCAGCAAAGUUCCCCAGCAAAGCACUCUCUGGUCUCUGUGUACAGGUAUAGGAAAGGGGACUAAAAAAUUUUAUCAAGUUUUGAAAUCUAGGUAAAUCAAAACAAAUAAGGGCUUCGUUGAAUUAGGUCUAGUAGACUACUUAAAUGUGGGCUAAGUGGCCUGGUAUGGAGUAGCAGUUUUCACACUUACAUGUUUAACAAUAGAACUCUUGGAAAACAAAAUCUCAAAUAGAUUUUUACUCUGUUUAUGAGAUAAGAUGGGAGUUUCUCAGAUUUUAUAGGAGGGAUGCCCUCCUCCCCCAAUCACCUCUGUUCCCAAUACCACUGAGGCAGCUCCAGAACCCCCCUGAGAUUUAUAAGCUCCCUUCUAUAUUUUGGGAGAACUCUAUAUUUACAUUCACAUUCAGUAAAUUUUGAAGACAAGUUUUAAAGUAACAACAAAUUACAGUUUAAUCAAAUUAAUAUAUUGUUUUAGUGAUACAGAAUUUAAAUUGGUCAAUUCCAAGUUAAUGAUGUUUGGCUGAUUUUAUGUACUACAAGUAUGAUAGAAUUUGAAAAUAAAGCUGUUUAUAGUAGAGCUUUUCAAAUAUUCACAGAAUAGGUAGACUAUUUAAUGAAUCUCUAUGCAUUAAUUACCAGGUUUCACUAGUUCUCCCCCAUUUUUGUCUGUCUCAAAUUCUCUUCUCAUUUUUUUCUUUAGUGUAUUUUAAAGCAAAUCCCAGACACUGUUAUUUCACCCAUACAUACUUCAGUAUUCAUUUCUAAGAAACAGCACUUUAAAAAAAAACUACAUGUCAUUAUGAUACCUGACAAGACUAAUAAUACCACUUCAAUACAGUUGUGAUAUUUUAAUUUUUGAAUUUUAAUCUAAUUAGUGUUUUUCCAAAUAUAUUUUGAAGAAUAUUCAUUUUGAUAUACACUAGUAUUUUUAGAUUAAAGCAUUUCAUGGUCAAAUUAUUCCUGCUAUAAAGUUAAAUUCUCCACCUACAAGACUUCUUAAAAUUUGCAUAGGUUAAUUUCCAUGAGACUCUCAAAGAAAGGAGUAGGAUAUCAGAAAGUUUGAAAUUUAUUUGACUACUAGUACAUUAGUUUUUCAUGGAGUAUGAGACAGGACAAGGGUACUACAUAAUAUAUUGGUGUAGAAAGCAGAUUACAAUCCCUGGAGUGUACAUUUUCAAAGAAACUUCACAUCCAUAUCCCUUAGAAAAGUAAGGACCCAACUUUACUCUCACUGGGCAGUAACUGUAGAUGUUGGAUGGAUACUGAUUGUCAUAAUACCAGGCACCAAAGAUGCUGCUGGAAAGAGGUCUGCAAUCUAAUUAUCACCAGCUUGAGCCCUAAAUUACUAAUCAUCUAUUACUCUAUCAGUUCUGUUCACUUUCACAUGUUGCUUGCUUGCAGAAGUUCAAGACGGGGGUUAAAUAACCACGUGCUCCUAGCUACUGGCCAUAGCUAUCACAUGGUCCAGUCUCCAAGUUGGGGGGUGGAUGCCAUGUUGAAACUUCACAUUACCUUAAGCUCAUUAUAAUUUCAUUGUGAUGAUUUAAAAAGCACAUCCACUGGCACCAGGACAGAUCCACCAUGAUGCCCCAAAUUAGUGAAGAACAGAGGUAGUAUCCUGAUCCCUGGAUAUCUUCUCCCCUUUCUGUCAAAAGUUCUGAUGACAGUACGCAUAUCACACCCCUCAUAACCCAGCCCCAGUAAAAAAGAAAAAAAGAGACCCCAGACCUGCUCCAGGAGAAGACUCCCAAAGAACCUGAGGUCUUCUUUUCCAUACAUUGAUGGUUGGGUAAAAUUUCCUGCCUGUUCCUCCCAGUAGAGAUCUUCUUUCCAGGAGGUAUACGAUGAAAGUAAACUUGGGCAGGGCCUGGAAGGUUAAGUAGAAGAGAGGAAAAUAUCUGGAAUACGACUGAAUAACACAGAUAAGAAUACAAGGCUCUGAAUGAUAAUGUUUUUAGGAAGCAGUGAGACAGCCCAGGCAGGCUGGGGAGAGGUGGGAAGUGAGUCCCGAUAGAACGUGGUGGUAUGAUGUCAAACUAUUUGAGAGCAGGGACUGUAGCUUUUAUAACACCCUUCCAAAUAUAUAACUUAAACACAGAAGGCCCAAAUAAACAGAUGUUUAUAUAUUGAAUUACACUGAAUAUAAUGAGCCAUAUAUUUAUGUAUCUCAGAAUAAAUUCAUUGAACAAUGACAUAGCAUUUUACCUUUUAUAGGAAAGACCCUAGGUUUGUGGACUGCAGGAAGUGAGGAAAGAAAUAAAAGACUAGAAACACGGGAUAUCUGGGGGCAGAAGUUACCAAAAUAGAGCUCUGUAAUGAUAAUGAUAGCUGGAGAAUUUAGAGGAAGGGCUGAAUUGGUAAAACAAGAGCCUGAGGGCAUUGAACUUCUCUGGGACAACAAGGCAAGAAGAAAAGAAGAUUAUCAAAGAGAAGUAGAAUGUCUUUACUUGAGUAGAAAAUGGAAUUUUAUUUUAAAGAGGAUUUGGGGUUUUAGAAUAGGUCCUGCCAUUAAAUAAUGUACAUCAUCUAGAGCUUUGCUACUCAAAGGAUUGCUCCCAAGCUGGUACAAAUCCUCAAGUUGUGUUUCUCAUCAGCAAUGAAUAAAUAUUAGAGUUGUGGGAAAGCCACAUGAACUGACUAGACAUCCAAGCAAGUGAUUAUUUUCUAGUAAUUAACAUUUAUUUCAUUUUUACAAAUGUAUCAACUUAAAUAAUGUUAACAAAACAAUAGUGUUUCACCACAGAUGGGUUGAGAAGUAGAAUCUAGAGAUAAUUCGCACAUGCUUUUAGGAGUAUGUCUUCUCUCUCAGCCAGUUUUUGUUCUGUAUUAAAACAAGUAAUCACUUCUUUGUUAGAGAGAAAGCUGGUUUGCACCUAUAAGAUGGCUGUUUAAUUAGGUUAUGCAUCAAAUUGUUAGAAGUCAUACUUGGCAUAGGGAGGUGCUCCCACUUGGAGAAACACAGACAACAACUGGGAGAAACUGGAGUUACCCCAUUCAUUCCCACUGAGUAAAAUAACAGGAAGAAUUCUCAGCCUUGGACAAAUUAUUGUCUCAUUCUAUCUUGCUUUCCUACUUCCCAUUCCAUCCUUUAUAUUGGCCACAUGCACUUAAUAUUUUGCCACUACACAAUGUGACUUCAUUGUAUAGGAUCUUUGUUCACAAAAUACUCUAGCAUUUUCUUUUUUGAUGUGUUCAUCCUAACAGAAACAAAGGUAGGCAUAAGCUGCCACCACUAUCCCAUUUUAGAGAAGAAGACACUGAUACACAGAGAAGAUACCUUUGGAACCCACAUCUUCUGAUUGCCUGCUAAGCGGUCUUGACUUUUGGCCAAAGUAGGAAGCAGCUGGGCACAGUCUCAUAGGUUCCAAAGUACUUUAAAACUGUAAAUGAAGCAGUGUGUGGAGCCAGUAUGGAAUCUGGCAGAAGAAGAACAUGCGGUGAAGUUUUGACAAAUAACUGCAUUCAUACAUAGACACUAUAACAACAGUGUUUGGAAAGCAUGAUUGGUGGCCCAAAACAGUCAUUGCUUGUUCUUGAUUUGGUGAAAAAUAAAGGUAUGUGUCUUCACCUGCUUGUUCCUUGAUGUCCCAGCCAUUUCUUUCAUGACACUUUCAUAGGCUGUGGGGACUGGGAGCCUCAAAAUAGCAGACAAAAAUAACCAAAUUAUAUGUGUUUCAAUGAUAUUAGGAUGUGCUUUUUUAGAAUGGCUAUAGAGGACUGGACUGUACCUCCCCAGUCUUAGAAAAUAUAGUAAUUCCAGUAUUCCUAAUCUUCUGGGAAUAUGGCAAGACUAAGCAUAGCAUAGUCCCUGUUCAACUGAAUGUUAGAUGUUUGCAAGUUUGAUAUGGGACAAUAUAGCUAUUAUUACUGUUGUUAUUCAUAAGUAUAAUGUGUAUGCAACUCAAUAUAGGUAAAUACUUAACAUACUUAUUAGUAUGUGAUAGAUGCUUAAGAAAUAGCAGUCAUUGCAGUAAUACCUUGGUUUACAAAUGCUUCUGUUUGCAAACAACUUGGUUGGCAAACAGAAGUGUUCGGCAAAUUUUGGAUCCAUUGAUGAAUUCCGCUUCAGGUGAUGAACACAACCACAGCCAUCUUCCCCCUCAAGAAAAACAAAUGCGGACAUCUUCCCCAGAAUCAUGGAACAAAACCACUGUAUUUCAAAUAUAUCAUUGCAUUUAUCACUCACAGGUCUCCUAGUAGGUAACUGUUUUUAGUGCAAUCUGCAAAUGAGGAAAGAACCAGAGAAGAAAUGUGACAUAUAAACCGAUAGAACUCAACACAACAGGAAUAAAUAUCACAUCUAAUUCCAAAGUACACCCUCUUCAUGUUAAAAAUAUCCACCAAAGCAGCUAAAAUGAAAAGGACUGAUAGUAUGAAAGCAUGGAGCAAUUGGACCUUGAGUACCCUGCUAGGGAAAUGUAAUCCACUUUGGAGCAACAUUAGAGACCUGAACUUAAAUUGACCAUCUUCACAUCUUACAUUCCCACAUUUCUAGGCACAGCAAUAGAAAUACAUGGCAUAGAUUUAGAAGAACUCUGUAAGAAUAUUCAUAGAUUGCUCAAUUAUUUAUACUUGCUCUAAACUAGAAACAAUCAGAAUGUUUAUCAUCUGAAGAAUGUGUAUAAUAAUUGUACUAUGUUCAUACAAUGCAGUGCUGUGCAACUUUAAAAAUGAAGAAACUCCCAUGACAGUCAACUACAUGGAUGACGAUAUUAGAUAUAAAGUGAAAGAAAGAAGGAGAAAGAAGCUAGAAGGCUCUCACCAAUGGCCAAACACAGGCACCCACCCAGUCUUGAACUUUUAAUUUCAAAAACUGCAAGUGUCACCCUUGUGAAGAAUUGCAAGGCACUAUUCAUACUCAGCAUUCCAAAAAUUACCAUUUUACAGUAUGAUUCUGGCAGUUCCAGUACAGACUCUGCAACAUACAUACUCUGAUGUUAAAAUGCCAGCAGCACUGAGAUUCUUGGAAAGUCCUAGAGAACAGAGGAAGAAGAAAACAUGUGGAAGAAAAGAUAAGAAGAGCAGCAUUACUUCUAGGACAACCCUAGUGGGGAUAAAAGUCAGAAGUGCUGAAAAUAAGCAAAAGAUGAGCUUGUUUCUUGUCCUUUUUCCAGGCAUAUAAAGUAAUAUUUCAGUGCCAAUAUUAUGUUUUCCUUCCUUCCUACUCCAUUCUUCCUUCUCACCCCUUGGUUUAUGCUGCCAUCAGUUCAUGUCAGUGUCCUUGUCUUCCUGUCCCUGUUUAUCUUCUUCCUGGGAAUAUUCUCAUGCACUUCCUUCUCCCUCCUCACUUCAGCCAAGUUCAUCAAUUUGACUCCCCUGUGAAUCCCACCUUCAUAACAUAACAGGAAGUAUAUCAAAUACACUAGAUCGAACCAUUGGAGUGAUUCUGCCUCAGGUUUCUUUCUUUCCCAAAAGACACAGGUUGAAAGGGAUCUUGCAUAUUCUUGCAAUCCAGCCUUGUUUCUCAUCGUAUUUGGAUCCAGCCACUUACACAGGCUUCUAAAUGUGAGGAAAUCUCCCUGGUUUUUCUUGUCUUUGUUCUUCCAUUCUUGUCAUCUACUUGGUUACAGUAUCCUGACCAGAUGCUGAAUUUCACUGACUCUUCAUUGGCUUGAAUACAGUCUUUAAACGUUCCUAGUCUUUUCAUUCACCUCUGCCCCUCCCCCCACUACUUUGACCUUAUUCUUUUGUAAAUAUCCUAAUUUCUUUCAGGAAUCAGGACUAUCAUAAGUAGAUAAGUAAAUUUUAAAAAGGAAAACACAGCCGAGAAUUCUCUGAUUUGCUUGUGUCCAUGCCGAGCCAGAGCUGACCUACUUGUCGCUGACAGCUGCUUCAGUCCAUGACCAGGACUUGACCCCUCCAGGCACCAUCUUGCAUUUUUCUCUAUUUACCACCCACCCAG